AUGCAAUGAUGAGGGCAUUUUUGUAACAACUCCUUGAACCUCUCCCAUUCCUUAUACAAAGAUUCUUCUUCUAGUUGCUGAAAAUAAGUGAUCUCAUUACGGAGCUU